rnacentral:rRNA from 1 species
UACAGAGGGUGCAAGCGUUUGUUCGGAAUUAUUGGGCGUAAAGCGCGUGUAGGCGGCUUUGCAAGUCGGGUGUGAAAGCCCUCAGCUCAACUGAGGAAGUGCGCCCGAAACUGCAGAGCUUGAGUGCCGGAGAGGGUGGCGGAAUUCCCCAAGUAGAGGUGAAAUUCGUAGAUAUGGGGAGGGAACACCGGUGGCGAAGGCGGCCACCUGGACGGG